GCUUGUCUCAAAGAUUAAGCCAUGCAUGUCUCAGUACAAGCCAAAUUAAGGUGAAACCGCGAAAGGCUCAUUAAAUCAGUUAUGGUUCCUUAGAUCGUACCCACAAUUACUUGGAUAACUGUGGUAAUUCUAGAGCUAAUACAUGCAAACAGAGCUCCGACCGGAGACGGGAGGAGUGCUUUUAUUAGAUCAAAACCAAUCGGUGGCGAGCUCGUCAUCGUACAACUUGGUGACUCUGAAUAACUUUACGCUGAUCGCACGGUCAUCGCACCGGCGACGCAUCUUUCAAAUGUCUGCCUUAUCAACUGUCGAUGGUAGGUUCUGCGCCUACCAUGGUUGUAACGGGUAACGGGGAAUCAGGGUUCGAUUCCGGAGAGGGAGCCUGAGAAACGGCUACCACAUCCAAGGAAGGCAGCAGGCGCGCAAAUUACCCACUCCCGGCACGGGGAGGUAGUGACGAAAAAUAACGAUACGGGACUCAUCCGAGGCCCCGUAAUCGGAAUGAGUACACUCUAAACCCUUUAACGAGGAUCAAUUGGAGGGCAAGUCUGGUGCCAGCAGCCGCGGUA
rnacentral:rRNA from 1 species